UAAGUUUGAUCCUGGCUCAGAUGAACGCUGGCGGCGUGCCUAAUACAUGCAAGUCGAGCGAAUGGAUUAAGAGCUUGCUCUUAUGAAGUUAGCGGCGGACGGGUGAGUAACACGUGGGUAACCUGCCCAUAAGACUGGGAUAACUCCGGGAAACCGGGGCUAAUACCGGAUAACAUUUUGAACCGCAUGGUUCGAAAUUGAAAGGCGGCUUCGGCUGUCACUUAUGGAUGGACCCGCGUCGCAUUAGCUAGUUGGUGAGGUAACGGCUCACCAAGGCAACGAUGCGUAGCCGACCUGAGAGGGUGAUCGGCCACACUGGGACUGAGACACGGCCCAGACUCCUACGGGAGGCAGCAGUAGGGAAUCUUCCGCAUGGACGAAAGUCUGACGGAGCAACGCCGCGUGAGUGAUGAGGCUUUCGGGUCGUAAACUCUGUUGUAGGAGACAGUGCUAGUUGAUAUCUGGCACUUGACGUACUA
rnacentral:rRNA from 1 species